GGGCCCUUAGCUCAGUCGGUAGAGCAUCUCCCUUUUAAGGAGAGUGUCGUUAGUUCGAGUCUAACAGGGCUCACCA
rnacentral:tRNA from 1 species